rnacentral:rRNA from 1 species
CCUANGGGUGUCUGCAGACGAGAAUAUUCCGCAAUGGACGAAAGUCUGACGGAGCGACGCCGCGUGAUCGAUGAAGUGCUUCGGUACGUAAAGAUCUUUUAUCGGGGACGAAGUUUAUUGACGGUACCCGAUGAAUAAGGGGCUCCUAACUCUGUGCCAGCAGGAGCGGUAAUACAGAGGCCCCAAGCAUUACCCGGAAUCACUGGGCGUAAAGGGUGUCUAGGCGGCCGUAUUAGUCUCUCGUUAAAUCCGUGGGCUCAACCUGCGGCCGGCGAGGGAAACGGUAUGGCUCGAGGGCGUGAGAGGUGCACGGAACUCAUGGUGGAGGGGUGAAAUCCGUUGAUAUCAUGGGGAACACCAAAGGCGAAGGCAGUGCACUGGUACGUUCCUGACGCUCAAACACGAAAGCCAGGGUAGCGAACGGGAUUAGAUACCCUUNUANUC